ACACUGUACGAGUUUGAUCAUGGCUCAGGAUGAACGCUAGCGGCAGGCCUAAUACAUGCAAGUCGAACGGAAUAUAGUUUUCGGAUUAUAUUUAGUGGCGCACGGGUGAGUAACACGUACAUAACUUACCCUCAAGAGGGGGAUAGCCUUGGGAAACUGAGCGUAAUACCCCAUAGUAUUAUUGAACGGCAUCGUUUGAUAAUUAAAGCUACGGCGCUUGAGGAUAGAUGUGCGUCUGAUUAGCUAGUUGGUAAGGUAACGGCUUACCAAGGCGACGAUCAGUAGGGGGCGUGAGAGCGUGGCCCCCCACACGGGUACUGAGACACGAACCCGACUCCUACGGGAGGCAGCAGUAAGGAAUAUUGGUCAAUGGAGGGAACUCUGAACCAGCCAUGCCGCGUGAAGGAUGACGGCCCUCUGGGUUGUAAACUUCUUUUGGAUGGGGCGAAAAAACGGGAUUUAUCCUGGACUGACGGUACCAUCAGAAUAAGCACCGGCUAACUCCGUG
rnacentral:rRNA from 1 species